AGCAAACAAAAGAACAACAGAAACAUGAGAGCAAAGUUCAAAGGCUUAUGAAGAAAACAUCAAAAGAGGUGAACAAGUUACGAGAAGAGCCCCUAGAGAUGCAAUCAUUCUGGGAGAAGAUGGCAUUUUUUACACGAGGCAAGGGAGGUAUCAUUCCACUACCAGCUGAUGAUGUAUGAUCAGCACAAAGCCUUUUAAUUAAUUGCAGUACAGUCUCUUACUGCUGAUGUUUAACCUGAUUUAACUGAAGUUACAUAUUGUGAUGUUACAGAUAUAUUUUGUAAAUUUAGAGAACUGUUUUUGAAGUCACUGCAUUGUUCGAAUGUAUACAAACCUACACUUCAGUUAUAUGUUGAACUCUUGUAGAGGCAGUGUAGCAUAGAUUAAUGUUAAUCUGUACAGUUUAUAUUUCAAGUUUUGUAAAAAAAAAAGAAAAAUAAUGACAUCAAGAACAAAAUCUGUUGAAAAUACUUUCAAAAAGAAAUGUUGCUUUCAGCUUAUUGUACAGUAAAUAGUUUUAUAAAUGUUAAGCUGCAAUAGAUGAGUUGAGGCACUAAUUAGAAACUGUGAUUAAAUAACAUUCAGUAUUGUUUGUGAUGUCAUUGUCUUGAGGUACAUCCACAGAAGUUCUCUAUUCUUCUAUCAAAAUAGUCUGUUAUCUAAUAUUGAAAACAAAACCCCCUUCAUUUUCACAAGUAUAUAUUUGUAAAACUUAGGAAAAUUUACUUCUGGAAAUAAUGUUGAGUAGUUUUUAAACAAUGUGUAUUGUAUUUGUGUGCAGGUUGAAUGAUCUUUAUUUAAGGGAAAAAUCUAGUUUUGACACUGAAAGGUCAGUUUUCAGGACCAAGUAAAUGACAGUUACAGUUUCUGUAACUAGCCUUGUUUACUUUGCAUUCUUCUUGCUGAAGCUGGGAAGAAUGGGAAAGUCUUAACAAUGUUUGUUCUUGCGUAAGAGCCAAUACCAGUUUGAAUGGCAUCAGGUACCUCUCCUGCACUUAAGUAAUGCUAUGUGCCAACAGCCAUUGGUAACCGAACGUUAAUUCAGAAAAUUUUGGCAUCAAUAAACAUUUUUGAGUAACGCUGCUAAUAAUAUUAUAUUUUUAAAAACUGAAAUGAUACAGAUUUAUUGAGGACUUUUUGUUUGAGCUGAUCAGGAAGUGAUGCUCACAGAGUACAAGAUAUUCAUAGCUGAGAAACAAUGGAAAUUUCUGAAGAAACAUAUUUUGUCAAAGCUUCUAAUCUUGCACUGAUUAUUUCUAAGAAUUUGCAAGAAAUACCAUUCUGCAGCAACAUUAGCUGUCUCCAGCCAAAAUGACAUUCUGCAUACAAUGUAAAUGAGUAAAGUGAAAGGAGUUUCUGUGCCAUCGCAAUGCUAGAAAUACAAGCAAAUGACAAUUGGAUCAUAUCAGGCAGUAUAUUCCUUCAGCUGUCCACAACAAGAAAGAUGCUGACUUGUAACCAACCAGUCUGUACUCGUAAAAUUCAUAGCACAAUGUCUAACUUUGGAUGUGAUUCCAUGAUUGGAUAACAUUUGCUUCAUCAGUCUGAGUGUGCAAAAAAUUAUAAUGUCAACCAAGUUGAGAUGGUCAGCCAGACUCAAGAUGUGACAUUGUUACGUGUAGUGAUAAUUACAUAUAUUAAUGCACAGGGCCCUGUUCUUUGGAGACAGAAAGAACACAUACGGAAACUGCCUCAGUUUGAACUGAACAAAAUAGGUGACAGCUAUUUUCAGGCAAUUCCUCAAUUAAUCAGUUAUCCUGGCCUGUUUAAAAUUUGAACAGAGGUUCGCAGUUAACUGUCAGUUGUCAUUAACUUCAUGGAUAUGCCUUUACCAAUCAGAAUCUACUGACAACCAAAUCAGGACUCUUCCCAGAAAUUAUAAAUGUUCUUUUCCCUUUCUUUGUAAAUUGUCCUGAUGCAUGCAAGAUGACAACCUUUAGCAAUAUUUGUGUUCUGUACUACCAAAAAUUUAAACAAUGGAAGGUAAGACAGUAGAUAAACUAUGCAUAAUGCAUUUGUGAGUUCAGUUGGACAGUCUGAUUUGAUUUGAUUUAUCACUGUCACAUGUACCAAGGUGUAGUGAAAAGUGUUGUCUUACAUGCUUACAGGCAGAUCGUGCUCUACAUGUGCAUCAGGUUAACAGAACAAAGCACAGGAUACAAUAUUACAAUUGUUGAGAAGGUGUAGAGAGACAGAUCAACAUUAAUGUGGGAGCAUGGGCAACAGGAAAUUCACUCCCUUGUAUGCAUGAUGUUUAAGCUUUCUGUCCUCGCCAAUUUUACACCACAUUUCCAUUAUUUAACCUAUAUCAUAUUCUGGAGCAUCUAACUCUGGAGGCCAUGGGGUGGGGGAAUAAUGCAUACUGUGCCAGUGUGUGAUUGGGUGAUGCUUCUAAGUCUUUCAGAGUGGUGUUUCUCUUGAGAAUGAGGGAAGGAGUGGUGGUGACUGAAAUAACUCCAUGAAGGCCGGUAUCCCGUCACCAAGUCACCCUUUAUUUACACUUGCAUAGUACAUGACGCUGAUGCAAAGUCAAUUCCUAAGUGAACAGAACCCCUGAUGCUCCUGUUUAUAUCUGUCAGCCAGGACUCCCUGGUUGGACCAGGUUAACAGCCCUAUGAGGGAACUCAUUCUGUGAGAUCCACCUGGUUGACCUCAUUCCAGUCACCACAGUGAUGGGGUUAUCAGGCUAGGAGAUUUUCAUGCCCCUAGUAUCCGACCAAAUCCCCAAAUCCCUUUCAAAACUGUCUGGAAUCCUUCUCCCAUCUUCACCCCAGGCUGUUACCUGUACACAGAAGCAAAAUAAAUCCAGGUGAUAUGGCAUACCAGAAUCUUUAGCCAGAGAUGCAGAACAGGCAACAAAAUUCCAGGAUGUCCAGGACAACAUUUGGUCACCUAUAAUAUUCCCAAAUGGUUAUUUGGACUUGUAUCCUCUUUAUUAAUUCGAAGAAUGAGUAUAUCAGGUUAGACCAGCAUUUAUCGGCCAUCCCAAAUUGCCCUUGGGACGAUUUUGGUGAGUUGCCUUUUUGAACCAUUGCAGUCCAUAUGGUAUAGGCACACUUCCAGUGCUACUAGAGAGUUCCAGAAUUUUGAUUGUGAAUAUACUGACCUCAUUCGCUGCACUUUGGCUAAUUAAGGGAUUUCAAACUGAACUUACUUCUAGCACCAGAUUCCAUAAGUGCAGUUAGAACUGGCCCACAUUCUAACAGUAUUGAAUAAAUUGCUGUUUGACUUGCUAAGGAUCUGACUGUUGAACCCCCGCAAAUGUUUGCAAUGCACAAUUGCCAGUGCCACAACGGUGUCAUACAUGCAGAGACCCUACAGACAAUAUCAUUGUGUUUGGUGUCGUUAUGUCAUCAGCACAGGGUGUGCACGUAUCAAACCGAUGAUAUCUUUGCACUGUGCAUGUGCACAAUGGAAAACUUGCUGAUUCAUCUGAAAAUAGAGUGCUGCACUGGUGUGGAAUUCAAAAUAAUGGUUUUAACUAGAGAAUGUUAAUGAUGCACACACGAAGAAAAAAGUGCAGGCAAAUGAGUGCAGUUGAAAUUGAUAACGAUGGCAGUUUCAAGCCUCUUGCUACAUCUGAAAAAUUUUAUUCAUUUUUAGUUGUGAGAUGCACAACUCUUGUAAUUUCUUUUUUAUUUUAUAGCAUUGAUUAAACAUGUAAUUAAUUAUUCAUUCCUUUUGACUUUACUUGUUCCCUGAUGUUCAAUCAUACCCAAUUCCGUGCUUCUUUUGGAAAACUGGAGAUUGAGAACUUUGAUGAGCUGACCUCUAAACUGGAGAUCUUUCAGAGUUUGCAAGGGAGUGCAGUGCCUUUCCCACAUCUCUUGCAUAUCAAUGACCUCUGCUGCCUUCAACACCUGCACCCCUUGCUACCUCAGUCACCACCACCCCUUCACCCAAUCUGUUCCCUUCCUCAUGCCUCUUCAACAACAGCCCUUCACCUCACACUCCCCACUCCAACACACCUCUCCGCUCAUCAUCUUUCUCAGCCUGGAUCAGGAGCAGAUUCUUGAUCCAAUAUCACACAACAAUGCAGUAAACUUCAAGCCUAAUUCCCACCUGCCACCCUUAUCAUCAGGAUUGUUGAUUUAAUCUGUUUAAGUAUGCUGAUUUGAUGCCAUGAUUUUUUUCUGAACUGGCAGCCCAUUUCACAAAGAGCACUUGUAGAGUUUCAGAGAAAAGUUAACCUGCACGCUGUGUGGUGUCAGCAUUUCCUUAUCUGUACCAAACUUCUCACCAUAAAACAUUGCUUUCUGAUUCAUUAGUUUUACUGUGAUGUAGCAUGGAUACUUUAGCGUUAGUAACUAACCAUUUUCUGAAAAUAGGAAGCUUAAAAGUCAGUCCAAAUACACCACUAACUGCCUCAUUUAUGGCAUUACUCAAAAGCACAAAUCCCAAGAAGUUAUAUUUUGUACUUAAUGCUGUGCACCACAUGUUAUUAAAAUGUGUGCAUUUUGAUGCUGUUACUGAAUUGGAAUAAGCAUAAGCCAAAGGAAAUACCAGGUUUUGUAGAAAUGAUGACUAAUACAUUUUAUGGCUGUUGGCACUAGUGUUCACACUGCAAUACUGGCCAAACAGAUUUCCUGAAUCACUCAUAUUUUAACUGCAGCAUCUAUUUCAUUUCACCUGAUUAUCUAAUAAAUUCAUAGUUUAAUUGUGACAUAGUUGAAUAUAAGUAGUCUAUUCUAAAUGAUGCAAAAAAGUUUCAAUUUACAUACAUAAAGAAUUCACAUCAAUUCAGAAAGGUAGAAAUGGUGAUAAAACUACUGAAGUAGGGUAAUAUUGGACUUGAAAUGUUAAUGCUUUCUCUGUCCACAGAUGCUAUCAGACCUGCUGACUUUAUCUAGCACAUUCUGUUUUUAUAUGUGAUGAAACCACCUUUGUGCCACAACUUUAUUAGUGUGCUUUUACCUCAGAGUUUGCAUCAAAGAGAGGUACAUGCUGCCAUUAUGGGGCAGCUAUCCCAUAUAAUGCAGGAAGAGUGCUGUCCAUAUUAGUAAUUGUGUUUUUAUAGCCUGUUAUUCAAUUUAUUUUCAAAGUUAGUUUUGUGAUCAUUGAAGUUUAAUUCUAUUUUCUCUUUAAGUGAUGGUAUGAUGAAGUUAUUAAGGAGAACUCAACCUUUUUUCAAAACAAAGGUGUUAAAUUUUAACAGUUUACAUGUGUUUUGGACUAUAUGUCCUGUUUCCAUAAAACAGUAACAUAAUGUGCUGACACCAGAAAGGAAGCUCCAUUCUUUUUGCUUUCACAGUGCGUGUUUUGGACUGACUGAUUUAUUUUCAGUACAUUAAGACCAAACUCAAAAAUUUCUAGUGCUUUCAAUUAGCCCAAGUCUUUAAUAAAGUAAAAUGCAAUUUUAAGUAUGUAACUGAUCAUUCAUUUUCUUAAAAGUUGGCUGAAUAUCCUCCAUAACAACUGUUAAAACUUAGGGAUUUUAUUGACCUUAAAUGUGUUUCUUUUUCCCUUUCUAAACUUAGUUGUCAUAAUUAGAUCCUUUUUGCUACCCAGGUAGCCAGACUGAAUCUUAUUCUUAAACUGACAGUUUAUCUCCAUUAAUCUGUAGAAUGAGGGCCUCAGUUUUUUUUUUUACUGGCCUGUUAAAUGAAAAAUUCAAAUUGAUGUUGUGUUCCAGGUCCUUGUUUAGGUUGGUGAAAAGAGAUUGAAGCAUAUCUUAGUUCCACAAAUUGAUAUUUUGUCUGACCAAUGUAUUGGAACAUUCAUGCAAACAUUAGUUUCUAACGAAGUUGAGGCAUUUUACUUGAUUUUAACAGAGAGGGCAAGACUUUUUUUUAAAAAUAGGAUUGACACAAUAUAUAUGUUUUUGAGUAUAUACAAAUGUAUUGAAACUGUGCUUUUAUAUUAUCAACUUCGGAACAACUUAAGACUGCUUAGCUGAAUUAUGGCACAGUGAAGCAAGGAAAUAUGUGAUUACCAUAUUUACAUUGUGUGCGCAAGAUAAUGUUUGAUCGUAUCAGUCGAUGAGACAUUUCAGUUCUAUAAUAAAGCUAGCUGGACAGUUAGUUGAUGAGGUAAGAAAUUACCCAAAAAAAAAUUCACAGCUUUGUUACAAAUUACCAUCCAUUCUGUACAUAAUUAUUUCUGCUUCAUCAUACAUUUACUUAUAAGGCAACAUCUUGAGGAAUGAAUUAGAUAAUUGAUCAGUUUUCUGUCGUAUGUUCCAUGUGCAAAUCAGAAAUGACAAGGAUGUGAAUUCCCUUUGUAAGGAAGAAGCUUGACAUAAAUACUAAGUGUCCUGACCAAUGUUCACCCCUGUAUAUCUGCUAUCAUUUAUAUUUGAAUGUUUUUCUUCCAAAUGCUGAGUAUUUCAUGGUGCUGUAGAUUCUACAGGGUUUACCCAAAAGUCCUGGCAGUAAUUUUCCAUAUCGGUGUGGCAGAAGCUACUCUGUAGGACUUACUACUUGGAUUUUCACAUUGUUCUAUAAUCUUAGAUCAUCUCACGCCUGUUAAUUUUUGACCGUUGUGUGAGACAGUGGAUUUCUGCACGGGACAGCAUAUAUACAGUUCAUGACACUUGAAAGGAUUUGUGCUUGUGAGUUGUCAAAAUUUAUCACCUUUUUUUUUAAAAAAGUUUCAAGUUCUCCCAUAAUUAAAACAUUAAAGGCUGCUAUUUUAUAUUUGUGUCACAUAGCUUUCUGAUAAUAUGCACAAUAGUAUUAACAGUAGUAAAUCACAUUCUUGAUUUUUGUAGUGGUUAUUUGUUAAUUCUUAUUUAUUGUCCAAUAUGUGAAUUUGAUUGGAAUUUAAUUUGUUAAUGUAUGAAGUGGGGGGAGAAAGGGGCUAGAAUUUUAUACUGAACUUUUGCUUCAUGUUGCAUUUGCUGACAAUUGUAGUUAAUACCACACCAACAGCUGAUAACAGGAUGAAGGCACAAUUUCCAGCUGGCAGAGGAUGAAAACAAAAGUAGUAUCCUGAAAUAAAUUCCAUUAUUUGACUUCAGAAUUCAAUGGAGAAUAUUAAUUACUAGAAAGAGGUUGUUAUGUUUCCUUUCCUGGUUGUCAGUUCAAUAUAAUUUGUGUUGCUGUGCGGAAAAUCCUUUUUGAACCUUUUGUCUGCCAUAAUGAUUGUACAAAGCAGAUGAAAAAUGUGUGUAGAAGAAUGGAAGUUCUUUUUUCAGUGCUGAAGAAGAGUCACUGGACACAAAACAUUAACUCUUUCCUCUCCACAAAUGCUGCCAGACCUGAGUUUCUCUAGCAAUUUCUGUUCGUGUUUCGGACUCCCAGCAUCCACAGUUUUUCAUUUUAUUAUGCCUUUCUCCUUCAUUUGUUUGUCUGGCAUCAUCUUAAAUACAUUUUUGCUAUUCACUUCAACUGCUAUUGCUGCUUCAUUCUAACCACAAAGACUAGAAUCCAAACCUUUUUGCUUUUGAAUCCAUUAAUCAAAUAUUAUACUGUUAAUUGGAGGAAUCUUGGCCAUAAUAAUGGGGUUCAUUGUGCUCUUUAAUGCAAUCUUUAAUAUUCAUUUUAAUCAUUGGAAAAGGUGGACCAGAAAUGUAAAUUUGACAUUCUUGCAUUUGUCCUGGUGAGUGCAAGACUAAAACUCAACAAUAUCUCUCUCUUCACAGAUGUAGAAGUAAUAAACUGGAUAAAUUUAACAUUUAAUAUAAUACACAUUAGAGCUCCACUAGGUUGUCAGUUGUAACUGUCAGUACAAGAAGAUAGUGAGGCUUCGUUCUGAAUUCAGCGUACUACUGCAAUUUCACAUACAUAAAGUCUGCCUCUAAAUAACUGGAAAUACAUCCUUUUUCAUCUUCAGUUAUUCGGUGGUCAGUUUUCAUGAAAUACUGGUCCAUAAAUUGUGGGGAAACACUUCACUUACAUACCUAAACUUUCUCCUUCAUUCCUUCUCCUACAUUUCUCAAAUCUUGUCCCAUAUUGCAACAAUGAAUCCUCUGCCUAAUAUUGUUGAAUUUGCACUGCUGUGUAAUUGAGAUAUAACUAAUUCCGCCAUAAACGAAUCUAAACAUCCUUGUGACCUAUAAGAAUUACUAAGUGUUGAGUUGAUUUCUACCAAUUUUCAGGUCACUUUACUUUCAGUGUGCAUGUGACAACACAAGAGAAAAGCACCUGUUGCAAUAGUAGGCCAUAAAUAUACAACCAGCAGAUUGCCUGUUCUUGUGAGCAUGAUAUCUUUCGUGCGAUUUCACUUUACGUCUAGACAAAGAGGCAAUGUUAUUGAAAAUAUACUGGUACGUAGCAAUAACACAACCUUCUUUUAAACAAUCCUGCUUUCCCAUUUUUCCACUGAUAACACUUUAUUAUAAUUUUACUUGGUUGAAUAGUCAAGUUUAAGAAGUACAAGUUUGAGAUUGAAGUGUUACAAAGUUUUACACCUUGGCUUAAGAGAUCUUAUUCAGAAGUGACCUAAAAAUCUCACCAAUGAUGAACAAUGUUGUGCUGUAUCAUUUUAUUAGUAGCAUUAUAGAUUCAAUUUUAUUGUGAAUAGUGGAACACUUUACAAAGAACUGUUACCUGAAAUACUCGAUCACAUUUCGAUUGCUGCGUUUCCUUACUCUAAUGUAUCAGAAGACAAUUACUGGAAAAAAAAGACUGUCAAUUCAGCUAUGAUUUCUGACAAGAGCUUGCAUUUCUAUUGCUGUGUGACUGUUUAUAUCUGACAUCACCAAAUGAAGAGACUUAUCAUGUACAGCCGCUCUUCCUGUGGUGAAGAUCAUUGCGUUAAAAUUGAUGUGAAUAUUUUUUGGCAGCUGUUUCCCAGUAUAAUGAAGAAGUUCCCUUCAUCUAUUUCUGUUCUUACCUUUCAGAACAUUUCCAGCCUAAACUUGUUUCAGAUAAAGUUUUUGGUCAGGAUUUUCAGUAUUCAUACUGCACAAAGUCCACAUGUUCAUGUACCACUUGGGUUAUGUAACGAAUAUGAACUUUAACCUAAUUUAUCUUGUUUACAAUUCUUCAACAAAUGUGAUGACCAUACUUUGACAUUAUUCCUUGUUGUUUUAACACCAACUCAUAAAAUUUGAUUCAUAAAAUGCAGGGUUGUUUAUUAUAGAAAUUGAAAUUAUUGUACUUUCCUUCAUAUGAAAUAAGAUGUGAACCCUAAUUUGCUGAUGUAUAAUUUGAGUUGUCUUUGUGUACUGCUUUAAUCUUGGAGUCAUUGUUUGUUAUCAGAUUGAAGUUGUAACGUUCAUCUAUCCUCUCACUUACAAGGCCUGACAGUUGUGAACGUGCCACACAACCAGCAAUGAAUGACCAGCAUUUUAAUCGUGAUCAGAACUUUAGAUCUGUAAAUAAGUGUAGCUUACCUUACUUGUACAUGAUGGAUUUGGAUGCUGUCUGGUGUUUUAAACAUUGUUCUUCAUCAAUUUUUUGACUUUUAAAUAAAUACAUAUUUUAGGAAAAAAA